CCACUUCUUGGAUUUCGAACCACUUACCCAUCUACAGUUACGGUGCUGAGCACUUGCCAUGUCCUGUGUUCAUUCAGUCCUCAACAUCAGCCUGUGAGCUAGACAACAUGCAUUUUGAAAGCCGGGACCAUUUUCCUUCAUCUGCACAAGGCUUGGUCCUGAGAAUCCUCUCAACGCAGCACUGCUGGAAGGCAUGAAGGAACCAACACAGGCUCAGCAGAUGAAAUCAAGCAGACUUUGCAUGAUUGAAGGCAAGAAGGGAGAGGGAGAGAAAGAUAGAAACAUCAAUGAUGAGAGAGAAUCAUUGAUUGGCUGCCUCCUGCAUGCCCCGCACUGAGGAUCAAGCCUGCAACCUGGGAAUCGACCAAUGACCUCCUGGUUCAUAGGUCAAUGCUCACCGAGCCACACUGGCCAGGUCUUUCCCCUGCCCAGCUUUCUUGAGGUUCUUAAAGAUCCUUCCAGAUCAGUGCAAAGAUCUACCUCUUUCUCAUUGAACAGCUGGGAACAUUCUGUAUUCCAUUGCAUUUGGGACACCCUACAAGGCAUUUCACUGUCUCCUGCCGGAGUUCCUAUUCUCUGUUUCAAACAACACUGUGAUGAUUAUCCUUGUACAUUCAGUUUUCACCCUGUUGGGAAGGUGCUAUUUCAGUUUUGAUAGGCACUGCUAGCGUGUCCCCUGCAGAUGGUGACUUUCAUAAUAGUAAGCUCCCGCUUUAAUCUAUGAGCAGGCAGUCAUCGGUGGUGCCAGCUUACUAGAAGUUUGCAUUUGAUGAACCCAAGGUGAGAAGUUUCUUUUUCCCAGAGAGCGAUUGCGCCUGUACUAUUGCAUGUAGCAAAGUGGCUUACAGCCCAGAUGUUGGAGACAGACUGCCCGGGUUCGAAUCCCAGCUCUAACAUGCUCAUACUGCAUAUGACCUUGGGCAAAGUGACUUAACUGCCUGUCAGAUAAAAAGACUAAUCCCAUCUACGUCAUAAAGUUACUGCAGGGUUUCUCAAUCACCCUCAGCAAUGCUGAUAUGUAGGGCUGGAUGGUUCUCUGUUUGAGGGAGUGGGCAGUCCUGUGCACUGAAGCAUCCCUAACCUCUACCUACAAGAUGCCAGUGGCCUUCACCUUUCAAUUGUGACAACCAUAAAUGUCUCUAGACACUGCCGAAUGGGCCCCUGGAGAUGGGGGAGGCAAAAUUCUCCCCUCCCAUUGAGCAUCAGUGGGUUACUGUGAAGAUUAUAUGCAUGAGUUAUUAUGUAAAAGGCACUUAGAACAGAGCUGGUACAUAAUAAAUGCUAUAUAAAGGCCUGCAGUUAUUAUCAGCAUUAUCUCUCCCGAGCCCUAAGGCUUACCUUACAGAAAAUAAAUAGUUUUGAUAAUAUGGGGGCUUGAGCAAGACAAGGGAGCAUUAUUAAGCCCGUAUCUGAUUCCACUCCGGAACAAGAAUCCAAGUCCCUAUUCUAAGAUCAUAGGUCAGCAAUGUCAGUAUUAAUUAUAGUCUGAUCCCUCCGGGGUUCCAUUGUGGGGCUCCCGGUAUCCUGUAGCACAUUUAACAAGAUCCCAUGCUAAUGGCCAGUUCAGCUGUCACGGGUGCUGCACACAUCCGUUCCACAUCCCUUCCCGAGUUAGUUCUCCAAAUGGUGCAUACUUCACAUCUCUGGCUUUCCAUGGAUCUAUGGCCCCUUGAAACAACUGGCUGCCCACAACAGUCACCCCAAAAAGGGGGCCAAUGAAAACAAAAAGGGAGAAUAAGGAAGAACAAAAAGACGGAGAUUCUUUAAAUUUCUGGCUCUCUGCAGCACAAGCAUUUCCAAUGAAAAAUAAAGAAUUCUUUCUUCUGUAUCUAUUUCAGCUGGCAUCCCGCUUUUGCCUGGUGAAUAAUGUCACCACAUCAUUAUUCUGUCCCUCAAGGUAAAACAAAAUGAGCAACUUAACCACCAGAAGUGUGCUUGUGUGGAGGAAAGGGCUCAUUUAAAAGCUUUUUCAAGUAAUGUUGCUGUGUUCCUUCCUAUUUUACCACACAUCCUCAGGUUUUUUUUGAACCUAUGGGAAAGUUGUUACUUUGCAUACAAGGUGUAUAAAUAAUGCCUCUUAGAAGCAACCCCCCUGACACACACACAUACACACACACACACACACACACACACACUUUAAAAAGUUUUUUUGCUUUUAGUCUUUUGGGAUUCCUGGAGUGUCUACAAAUAGAUUAGCCUUUAAGAAUUCCGAGUAACCAUGGUUAGAAGAAACAACACUGGUUUAAUUAGCCAUGGUCCUAUUUUUGAAAUUACAUCUGCUCUCUCUCUUUUCUUAAAUGAGGCUUGGUCUUUGCAAAAAUUUUAAGAGGAUGGAUUUUGUAGAUGGGGGGGGGGCAGUGCAUGUUAGUUUUGAUUUGAAUUAAUUUUCAUGCUUUUGAAAGCGAAAUCAAGAGUAUUGAGUGAGUAAUGUAGCAUCAUACAUUAAACAUGAUCAAAUGAAGAGCACUGAAGAGAAAUGAUUGCAGAGAAAUGAAUUGCUGGAAAUACUGGAUCAUCAGAUGCAUGCUGCUGUACAGAGUGAUAGCAAAUCAUUCUUUGCAUGGCUGUAUCAGUUUUUUAUCCCAAAUCCUCAGACUUGAUUAAUCAUUGAAGUGAUGAAAAUGAGAGGGCCAUGUGGUUCGUUGAAGGGUCAUUGAGUUUCAGAAACCAAGUACAUAAUCCACAGGACUCGAUUCCCAGGUUUGAAAGUCUUUAUAUGACUUUUCACUUGAUACUAUUUUUCAUUUCUGAAAUAGUGGUUGAAAUGGUCACUGCUUUUUAAAAAUAUGUAUAUAUUUUAUUGAUAUUUUACAGAGAGGAAGGGAGAGGGAUAGAGAGUUAGAAACAUCAAUGAGAGAGAAACAGCGAUCAGCUGCCUCCUGCACACUCCCCACUGGGGAUGUGCCCGCAACCCAGGUACAUGCCCUUGACUGGAAUCAAACCUGGGACCCUUGAGUCCGGAAGCCAACGCUCUAUCCAGUGAGCCAAACCAGUUAGGGUGGUCACUGCUUUUUUAGAAGUUAAUUUUUUAGCAAUACUUCUUAAUAUCAGAACUCUUUCAGGACAGUGUUCCUCACAGUCUUUGAUGACAAAUCUCCAGUGAUACUUGGUUUUGUUUAAAUCAUUUGGGAUGGAGAGGGCACUUGAAAAUUUAACUUUUAUUGGAUAUGAUAUUAGUUUCCGACUUCAGCAUUUGUCUUUAAAGAAUUCUGAAUGCACAUGGAAAUCACAGGAAAUCACUUUUUUGGGGGUCGUCUAUAUUAAUUAUCUCUGGUUGCAUACAAAUUACCCCAAAAUUUAUUAACUUAAACACCAAGAGUUAGGAAUCUGGUUCAGGGUCUCUAACAAAACCUAAUGAAGGUGCAUUGACCAGGGCUGAGGUCAUAAUCAAGGCUUGAUUAGGGGAUGUCUGCUUCCAGUCUCUCUCACGUGGCUGUGGGCAGCCAUCCGGUCCUCACUGCUGUGGUUGGAGACGUCAGUUCUUUGCCAUGUGGGCCUCUCCAUAGGGCAGCUCAUAACAUGGCAGCUGUCUUUCUUUAAAGCAAGUGGGCAAGAGAGGGCAGUGUAAAAUAGAAGCCACAGUCUUUUUGUAACCUAAUCUUGGAAGUGAAAACUCUUAGUUUUUUCUUUUUUGUUAGAAGGAAGCCACUAGGUCCAAUUCAAGUAGAGAGUAUUUCACAGGGUCUGAACACCAGAACAGGUUCAUAUGGGGCCAUUGUAAAGGCUGCCUGCCACACCAUUUGUCUUAAGGUGUAUUAUCCUGUCAUAAGAUAUAAAGCCCUCUGACACCACAGUGGCUGUUAAAUAACCAUGAUGUCUAGAAUUCAGGUGAGGAAUUUGCAAUAAUAGAUAUUCCUCGGUUUGGGGUGAUAAUCCUUCCAUAAAGAAAAAUGGAGGAGGGUGUAUAAAACAGCAUGACAAUAGACGUUCUCUCGGUUUUCAUUUUAAUAGAAAGCAGAAAUCAAUUUUUUUAAAAAAAUAUAUUUUUAUUGAUUUCAGAAAGGAAGGGAGAGGGAGAGAGAGAUAGAAACAUUAGUGACGAGAGAGAAUCAUUGAUUGGCUGCCACCUGCAUGCACCCCACUGGAGAUGGAGCCUGCAACCUGGACAUGUGCCCUUGACCAGAAUCGAACCUAGGACCCUUCAGUCCACAGGCUGACACUCUAUCCACUGAGUCAAACCGGUUAGGGCCAGAAGUCAAAUUUUAAUGAUAAACCUGCAAACAUUCCAAGUGUGAAUGUAAAAUGGCACAGUCAUGUUGGGAAAAAGUUUGAUAGUAUCUUUAAAAAACUUAAAUAUAGCCCUGGCUGGGUGGUUCAAUUGGUUGGUGCAUCCUCCCAAUGUGCUGAGGUUUAGGGUUGGGUUUGAACCCUGGCUAGGGCACAUGCAGGAAUCAACCAAUGGGUGCAUGAAUGGGUAGAACAAUAAAUCUCUCCCCCUUUCCCCCCUCCCCUCGAUUCCUCU